rnacentral:rRNA from 1 species
CCUACGGGACGCACCAGUGGGGAAUAUUGCACAAUGGGCGCAAGCCUGAUGCAGCCAUGCAGCGUGUAUGAAGAAGGCCUUCGGGUUGUAAAGUACUUUCAGCGGGGAGGAAGGCGAUAAGGUUAAUAACCUUGUCGAUUGACGUUACCCGCAGAAGAAGCACCGGCUAACUCCGUGCCAGCAGCCGCGGUAAUACGGAGGGUGCAAGCGUUAAUCGGAAUUACUGGGCGUAAAGCGCACGCAGGCGGUCUGUCAAGUCGGAUGUGAAAUCCCCAGGCUCAACCUGGGAACUGCAUUCGAAACUGGCAGGCUAGAGUCUUGUAGAGGGGGGUAGAAUUCCAGGUGUAGCGGUGAAAUGCGUAGAGAUGUGGAGGAAUACCGGUGGCGAAGGCAGCCCCCUGGACAAAGACUGACGCUCAGGUGCGAAAGCGUGGGAAGCAAACAGGAUUAGAUACCCCAGUAGUC